UACAGAGGGUGCAAGCGUUGUUCGGAAUUAUUGGGCGUAAAGGGUGCGUAGGCGGCGCGGUAAGUCGGGUGUGAAAUCUUGGAGCUUAACUCCGAAACUGCAUUCGAUACUGCCGUGCUUGAGGACUGGAGAGGAGACUGGAAUUUACGGUGUAGCGGUGAAAUGCGUAGAUAUCGUAAGGAAGACCAGUGGCGAAGGCGGGUCUCUGGACAGUUCCUGACGCUGAGGCACGAAGGCCAGGGGAGCGAACAGG
rnacentral:rRNA from 1 species